CAGGAGGACAACUGUCAGAGAAACACUACAUAUCGUCCGAGUGAGGAAAUUAAAUACACUACAAUGAGCUUACAGUGGGAGGACCUAAUUAUACUGUAGUUUGUAAAUAAAUGACGACAAUGGAGAAAUGAAUACACUAUUAUAAUUCCACACACCUAUUGCAGGUGAAAGAAGAUGGAAACUAUUCCACUUUGAUAUUAUAAGAAGAUUGUACAUAAAGGCUCUUUCAAAUAUUGAGGUGAAAAAUAACAUUGAAUGAAAGUUAAAGCUAGAGACAAAGAAGCAAUAUGGGAAAGUCUGAAAGUUCAAAAUCUGCAAACUAUAAUUCAAAACAAGUUGCGACAGUGAAAAUGGCAUGUUCUGGUUUAAUUUUCUAACCCACAUGCAGAAUCAUAUACGAGAAGCCACAUAAAGAAAUUAUAUUUAUUUCCAAAUUGAGAUCAGAUUGUACAGGUGGAAAGAUCUUCUUGUUUCUCUGGAGUGGGAAGAUCACAAGAACGGUUCUGUCUGGAAAGACAGUGGCGUUAAUAACAGCCAGGAAUGAGAUGAUAAAAGAGGGAUAAGGCAGAAUAACUGUGCUUACUCUUGAAUGGAUCUGAGUGGUGCAGAUCAGCAGGGGGAUCAGCCAGAGUCCAGAGUGGUGAAUGGAUUAAUAAUUCCAGAGGUGAGAACGAGAUCGGCGGUCAUAUUAGAGAUCCAGAAGUCUGAUGGAGCGAGGCAGAGAGGUAGAAAUGGUAGCCUGCUUUCAGGCAGGUGAACUUCCCAGUAGGAUUCAUCUGAGGCAGUGAUGGGUCCAGCAGCGCGUUGGCGCGUGCGUCAAUGUGCAUAUCACUAUGAGAAAGUCAUGUGACCAUUACAGGAACUGUUUCAAACUCAUAAACAUGAACACGUAGGCCCUGUCCCAAUACUCCCACUCACAUCCUGGUUCCACCCUCGUGUUCUUCUAAUGCGCGUUCAUGUUGAAGAGAUUGAGUGCGUAGUGCGUCCCACAUUCUCCAGUUGGGGGUGCCCUGGUUGGGUCCCAUAAAAUGGUUGGUCCCAACCAUUUUCCAAGUUGGGACCCAACCUGGAAAAUUUUGGGUCCUGUUUCCACCCUUACGUCCAGAUCCAGGCAGACUUUGGCCGAGUGUAUUACCCACAAUGCAUUGCUGCAUGUGACGUUUUGCGUUAAAAGGUGAAUUUAUGGCAAUGUUUAGUUGUAUUUUCCAGUCUUUAUAGAAAAUUCUAAGAAAAUAGCAUAAUAAAGCACACAUUAGUAAUAAAGGUUUGAUAAUAUUCCCUUAAAAGUAGAGAGAGCCUUGAUAAUAGUUAGUAGUUUUGGUAAAUUCAAGCUGGUGACGUCCUAGUCCAAGUUAGAUAAUAACUCAACUGGACAAAAACUAGAUGGAAAUGAAAUGUGGGUCACUAAAGGAGCCUGAAGGUACGAAGGACGCUAACUUGUGGUAAACUUAAAUAUAACUUAAUCUGGUUUUAAUUAAACUCAGUAUGCUAAGGAGACUAUGUUGUGAGGCUGUUGCUAUCAUUCGUUUUAACUUCAACAUAUUUUUGCAGUCUAAGUAAAUCAAGAUUGAAGAGGAAACGAGGGACCAGGUAUUACAAAACCUGAAGACUUUCCUGUCUCAGAAGAUCACCACCACAGUUCUUUGGAUAAAUCUCCACAUGGUCUUCAUGGGGUAAUUCUUUUUCUUACUGAGCAGCAGGCUACAUUUUAACAACAGCAGAAAGUAGUGUAUUUCCAACACUACAGAGUGUUUAAUUAACAUGUUUUGAUUUGAAAAUAAUUUGAUAGAAUUUAUUCCCUUUGUUAUUUUACCAUUUCUCUUUCAUACAUUUUAUUCAAUGUUAGCUUUCAGGGCCCUGUGAUAACGUGUUCAGGGUUAACCCCGCCUCUCAUCUGAUGGUUGCUGGAAAUGGGCAUGGGCACCACUAACCCCCCUCACCACCCUGCAAGGAUCAAUGUGUCAAUGGAUGGAAAGCUUUUCAGUUCCGAACUGUGCAGACGCCUGCAGGAUUUUAUCGGAGGGCAGCAGCGCCUGCAGGCUCCUCCCACUCUUAUGACAUCAGCACUGUACUACCUUCAGGUGGCGCUAAGAUGCUUGAGAAGAGGCCUCUGCCAGCAACCUGCAUUAAACAACAACCAGCAACUCCUGUGGUCUGACUCCCUUCUUCAUCUGAACACAGCGCAGAACACAUCAAGGUUAACCGACUGUAUAAGACUAGGUUAUCGUGAAGAACACUAAUAGUAUACACUGGUUACAAAUGGUACAUAACACAAAUGUUGACAAUAUGACGUUUUCCAUACAAUAAACAUCUUAGCUUGAUAUCUUACGACCUCAGCAUCACAUUUGUAUGCUCAUCAUCAUACAACCCCAAAAUAAGGAUACACUUUGGGCGGGAUAGCUAAACACCAUAUUUCGGCCCUCACUGCGUUGA